UUGGGGUUGAUUUGGGAGGUAGUUUCCAAUUGCUUGUCGUUUUGAUUUCUGCUCAUUUUUGGUGCUACUUGGUGUGUUCGGAUUUAUCAGGUGCAGUGGGUUGGCCAUUUGAUUUAAUUUUUUUCCCUGUACCUGCAGCGGAGGUACUGGUUGUGGUGUUGACUAAAAUUUCUUAUUCCUUUAUGCUUGACUGCCUACUUGAUUCUUGGGUUUUAGUGCUUAAAUUGUUUCUCAAAUUCUAAACGGUGGUUGCUAGAAUUGCCUAUUGCUUGGCCCAAUUGCUAGGUUUGGUCGUUUAAAGUGGGUAAUUGAAUGUCCAAUUGGUGACAUUUAUUGAGUUUCACUUGCUCC
rnacentral:lncRNA from 1 species